UACAGAGACUGCAAGCGUUAUUCGGAUUCACUGGGCGUAAAGGGUGCGCAGGCGGCCGCGUGUGUUGGGUGUGAAAGCCCGGGGCUUAACCCCGGAAUUGCGCUCAAAACUACGUGGCUAGAGCAUUGGAGAGGGUAGCGGAAUUCACGGUGUAGCAGUGAAAUGCGUAGAUAUCGUGAGGAACACCAGAGGCGAAGGCGGCUACCUGGACAAUUGCUGACGCUCAGGCACGAAAGCGUGGGGAUCAAAAGGG
rnacentral:rRNA from 1 species